UGGUCAAUGGACGAGAGUCUGAACCAGCCAAGUCGCGUGAGGGAAGACUGCCCUAUGGGUUGUAAACCUCUUUUAUAAGGGAAGAAUAAGUUCUACGUGUAGAAUGAUGCCUGUACCUUAUGAAUAAGCAUCGGCUAACUCCGUGCCAGCAGCCGCGGUAAUACGGAGGAUGCGAGCGUUAUCCGGAUUUAUUGGGUUUAAAGGGUGCGUAGGCGGUUUAUUAAGUUAGUGGUUAAAUAUUUGAGCUAAACUCAAUUGUGCCAUUAAUACUGGUAAACUGGAGUACAGACGAGGUAGGCGGAAUAAGUUAAGUAGCGGUGAAAUGCAUAGAUAUAACUUAGAACUCCGAUAGCGAAGGCAGCUUACCAGACUGUAACUGACGCUGAUGCACGAGAGCGUGGGUAGCGAACAGGAUUAGAUACCCUGGUAGUCCACGCCGUAAACGAUGCUCACUGGUUCUGUGCGAUAUAUUGUACGGGAUUAAGCGAAAGUAUUAAGUGAGCCACCUGGGGAGUACGUCGGCAACGAUGAAACUCAAAGGAAUUGACGGGGGCCCGCACAAGCGGAGGAACAUGUGGUUUAAUUCGAUGAUACGCGAGGAACCUUACCCGGGCUUAAAUGGGAAAUGUCGUAUUUGGAAACAGAUAUUCUCUUCGGAGCGUUUUUCAAGGUGCUGCAUGGUUGUCGUCAGCUCGUGCCGUGAGGUGUCGGGUUAAGUCCCAUAACGAGCGCAACCCUUACCGUUAGUUGCUAGCAUGUAAUGAUGAGCACUCUAACGGGACUGCCACCGUAAGGU
rnacentral:rRNA from 1 species